rnacentral:rRNA from 1 species
GGAAUUUUCCGCAAUGGGCGAAAGCCUGACGGAGCAAUACCGCGUGAGGGAUGACGGCCUAUGGGUUGUAAACCUCUUUUUUCAGGGAGGAAUCAAUGACGUGUACCUGAAGAAUAAGCAUCGGCUAACUCCGUGCCAGCAGCCGCGGUAAGACGGAGGAUGCAAGUGUUAUCCGGAAUCACUGGGCGUAAAGCGUCUGUAGGUGGUCGAAUGAGUCAACUGUUAAAUCUUGAGGCUCAACCUCAAAAUCGCAGUCGAAACUAUUUGACUAGAGUAUAGUAGGGGUAAAGGGAAUUUCCAGUGGAGCGGUGAAAUGCGUAGAGAUUGGAAGGAACACCGAUGGCGAAGGCACUUUACUGGGCUAUUACUAACACUCAGAGACGAAAGCUAGGGUAGCAAAUGGGAUUAGAUACCCCAGUAGUC